rnacentral:rRNA from 1 species
AUUGAACGCUGGCGGCAGGCCUAACACAUGCAAGUCGAACGAGUGGCGGACGGGUGAGUAAUGUCUGGGAAACUGCCUGAUGGAGGGGGAUCACUACUGGAAACGGUAGCUAAUACCGCAUACCAUCAGAUGUGCCCAGAUGGGAUUAGCGAGUUGGUGGGGUAACGGCUCACCAAGGCGACGAUCCCUCGCUGGUCUGAGAGGAUGACCAGCCACACUGGAACUGUGAGCCGGUCCAGACUCCUACGGGAGGCAGCAGUGGGGACUAGUGCACAAUGGGCGGAAGCCUGAUGCAGCCAUGCCGCGUGUAUGAAGAAGGCCUGCGGGUUGUAAAGUACUUGCAGCGGGGAGGCGUUACCCGCAGAAGAAGCACCGGCUAACUCCGUGCCAGCAGCCGCGGUAAUAC